rnacentral:sRNA from 1 species
CUAGGUUCAAAUAUAUAUGGGUUGCCUCUUCAUGCGUUCACGAGGACAAAGUGAUGGAGAGGAUUGUUUGCUUGAGCUGGGAAGGGCUAGGUUGGUGGUGUUAUUUUUGAGAUAUUUCUCUCUCUCACUCUCUCUCUCUCUCUCGGAGGCAAGCAGCCAGGUAAGGCAACAGGCAACAGGCAAACAGGCAGGAUGCUGCAGCUGUUCCUGCACGGGCGUUGGCCGCCCCUCUCCGCCUCCCCCGGAAGAAAGGAAAAGCAACAAGCCCGCAGAGGGCAGCAAGCAGUCGAAAACCUAUUUACUAUUUUAUUCUGUUCCUCAAUUCUCUCCUUCACUUCUUCACAUCUUCGUACAAACAUGGACAGGC